rnacentral:lncRNA from 1 species
AUAGGGAGCAGUAGAGGUCUGAAGGUGUUGCAUUGCAGGGUAUGGGCAAUUUUGAAAUUUCAAAAAGGCAUGAUUGCAGCCUAUUCAUUAAUUUUCGGUUUUGAGCUAUGAGAAGAUUACUUCUUAUUUUUUAGCUAUAACAGUUUUCAGUGUUCUAUCUUUCUAGUCUUCUAUAUUAAAUAGAAUACAAGUAAAGCAAUUUAUUCUGAUCAGUCAACAGUGAAUCAGGAUGUUGGUUAAUGCCAGGGAUUCACUUGCUGCUAAACUGUUAACAACUGAAACUUGCCUACCUAGUGAUGGAACUGUAAGUGCCUCGCCCUGAUUAAUCUUUUACCUAUAUUCAGUCAGACAUCAUGUGCUGUUGGUAGCUACUCUCAGUUAUGGUGUUGCUUCAUGUUCUAGAUCAAUCACUCCAGGACAGAGAGAAAGAAGUACAUAGCCGUGGUUCGCCCAAUAGGCCUCCGUGUGGUACCUGCCCAUAAGGAGGCUGACAUGGGCGUAGGGUGCUUUUUGGUUCACUGUUGAGAGGACUGUCAUGGAAGCUCAG